UGAACUUAAGCAUAUCAAUAAGCGGAGGAAAAGAAACCAACCGGGAUUGCCCUAGUAACGGCGAGUGAAGCGGCAACAGCUCAAAUUUGAAAUCUGGCUCCGGCCCGAGUUGUAAUUUGCAGAGGAAGCUUCUGGCGAAACACCUUCUAAGUCCCCUGGAACGGGGCGCCACAGUGGGUGAGAGCCCCAUGUGAUGGAUGUUGAACCUGUGUGAAGCUCCUUCGACGAGUCGAGUAGUUUGGGAAUGCUGCUCAAAAUGGGAGGUAAAUUCCUUCUAAAGCUAAAUAUUGGCCAGAGACCGAUAGCGCACAAGUAGAGUGAUCGAAAGAUGAAAAGCACUUUGAAAAGAGGGUUAAACAGCACGUGAAAUUGUUGAAAGGGAAGCGCUUGUGACCAGACUUGCGCUGGGCUGAUCAUCCGGUGUUCUCACCGGUGCACUCGGCCCAGCUCAGGCCAGCAUCGGUUUCGGCGGGGGGAUAAAGGCGCCAGGAACGUAGCUCCCCCGGGAGUGUUAUAGCCUGGCGUGCAAUGCCCCCGCUGGGACCGAGGUUCGCGCAUCUGCAAGGAUGCUGGCGUAAUGGUCAUCAGCGACCCGUCUUGAAACACGGACCAAGGAGUCAAGGUUUUGCGCGAGUGUUUGGGUGUCAAACCCGCACGCGUAAUGAAAGUGAACGUAGGUGAGAGCUUCGGCGCAUCAUCGACCGAUCCUGAUGUAUUCGGAUGGAUUUGAGUAGGAGCGUUAAGCCUUGGACCCGAAAGAUGGUGAACUAUGCUUGGAUAGGGUGAAGCCAGAGGAAACUCUGGUGGAGGCUCGCAGCGGUUCUGACGUGCAAAUCGAUCGUCAAAUCUGAGCAUGGGGGCGAAAGACUAAUCGAACCAUCUAGUAGCUGGUUACCGCCGAAGUUUCCCUCAGGAUAGCAGUGUUGUUCUUCAGUUUUAUGAGGUAAAGCGAAUGAUUAGGGACUCGGGGGCGAUUUAUAGCCUUCAUCCAUUCUCAAACUUUAAAUAUGUAAGAAGCUCUUGUUACUUAGUUGAACGUGAGCAUUCGAAUGUACCAACACUAGUGGGCCAUUUUUGGUAAGCAGAACUGGCGAUGC
rnacentral:rRNA from 1 species